rnacentral:rRNA from 1 species
AGAUUGAACGCUAGCGGGAUGCUUUACACAUGCAAGUCGAGCGGUAGAGAGGUGCUUGCAUCUCUUGAGAGCGGCGGACGGGUGAGUAAUGCCUAGGAAUCUGCCUAGUGGUGGGGGAUAACGUUCGGAAACGGACGCUAAUACCGCAUACGUCCUACGGGAGAAAGCGGGGGACCUUCGGGCCUCGCGCCAUUAGAUGAGCCUAGGUCGGAUUAGCUAGUUGGUGAGGUAAUGGCUCACCGAAGGCGACGAUCCGUAACUGGUCUGAGAGGAUGAUCAGUCACACUGGAACUGAGACACGGUCCAGACUCCUACGGGAGCAG